GGGGGAUUAGUUUAAUCGGUAAAACACUGGUUUUGCAAAUCAGAAAAAGGAGUUCGAAUCUCCUAUCCUCCACCA
rnacentral:tRNA from 1 species